ACAUAUAUUUUACAAUUUGUUUUGGCAUGUUAAUAUGUUAAUAUGUUAAUAUCAAACCAAUUAUAAUAUUUUUGCGACUGAUCUAUGAUUAUCAUUUUGUAACGGUUUUCUCUAUUGUUUUGACUGCAAUUACAACUGCAAUUACUUUCCGGUGUUUCUUCAUCACACUGUAAAACGUAUUAUUAAGCGACAUAAUAUAUAAUUUAUAAUAUACGCGUUGCUGUUCAAAAGAGUAAUCACGCCGGAAUACACGUAAAUAACAGCAACACGUUACACAUGUAUCAUAAUGGAGCGGCGUGAAAGAGCUGUCUAUCUUAAUCGUAAACUCAACCAACGUUUCAUCCUGCUGGCAGAAGUAGUGUUCGUUAUUCCAGCAAAGUUUCAUGACGCAAAAAAUCUAUCGCAAAACACAAGAAGCUGUCGCAAGCUGUUGAAAUCCGUUUGAACAGUCCAAGUGUCUCAGUAAAAACACUGCAAAUCUCGAAAUUCCUCAGGAGAGAGUAAAGAAAAUCGACCGAAACAUCUAAAUUUUACCGCUAAACGGAAAAUUUUUCAAGUAUGUGCGAGCAUAGUCGGUGAUGAGAUUUUACACAAGUAUAAUGUGUAUACUGAAUAUGGGAGCAAUCCUACUCACUAUAAUACUCAUUGCGGUAUUGUCUGCAACGAUUGCAAAUAAUAUCAGCAAACAAUGCCAAGUGCACAAUGAAAGGAGAAUUACGUGUGGAUGUAUUGGAAACGAGGAAUUUGUCCUACCAGAAGAAUACAAUUAUGCAAAUAUCACCAGCGUGUCGAUCUCGGGAUGCGUUUCAGCAAACCUUCAUUAUUCCAGUUUACCG